UUGAAACACUGGUUCUCCUAUAAUCACCAGCACUAAGCAAUAUCGAGCCUGGUUAGUACCUAGAUGGGUGACUGCUUGGGAAUACCAGGUGCUGUAA